GGACAGAAAGACCCUAUGAAGCUUUACUGUAGCCUGGUAUUGGGUUCGGGCUUUGACUGCGCAGGAUAGGUGGGAGACUAUGAAAUCAUCCUUGUGGGGAUGAUUGAGUCAACGGUGAGAUACCACUCUGUCAAGGCUAGAAUUCUAACCUUCAGCCGUUAUCCGGCGAAGGAACCGUAUCAGGUGGGCAGUUUGACUGGGGCGGUCGCCUCCUAAAUUGUAACGGAGGCGCGCAAAGGUUCCCUCAGGCUGGACGGAAAUCAGCCGAAGAGUGUAAAGGCAGAAGGGAGCUUGACUGCGAGACUAACAAGUCGAGCAGGGUGGAAACACGGCCUUAGUGAUCCGACGGUACCGCGUGGAAGGGCCGUCGCUCAACGGAUAAAAGUUACUCUAGGGAUAACAGGCUGA
rnacentral:rRNA from 1 species